rnacentral:rRNA from 1 species
UGGGGAAUCUUAGACAAUGGGCGAAAGCCUGAUCUAGCCAUGCCGCGUGAGUGAUGAAGGCCCUAGGGUCGUAAAGCUCUUUCGCCAGGGAUGAUAAUGACAGUACCUGGUAAAGAAACCCCGGCUAACUCCGUGCCAGCAGCCGCGGUAAUACGGAGGGGGUUAGCGUUGUUCGGAAUUACUGGGCGUAAAGCGCGCGUAGGCGGAUUGGAAAGUUGGGGGUGAAAUCCCAGGGCUCAACCCUGGAACUGCCUCCAAAACUACCAGUCUAGAGUUCGAGAGAGGUGAGUGGAAUUCCGAGUGUAGAGGUGAAAUUCGUAGAUAUUCGGAGGAACACCAGUGGCGAAGGCGGCUCACUGGCUCGAUACUGACGCUGAGGUGCGAAAGUGUGGGGAGCAAACAGGAUUAGAUACCCCUGUAGUCC